rnacentral:rRNA from 1 species
AAUAUUGCGCAAUGGAGGAAACUCUGACGCAGCGACGCCGCGUGAGCGAUGAAGGUCNNNGGAUCNUCAAGUUCUGUCCUCAGNGAANAAGAAACGGACGGUACCUUAGGAGGAAGCCCCGGCUAACUACGUGCCAGCAGCCGCGGUAAUACGUAGGGGGCGAGCGUUAUCCGGAAUUAUUGGGCGUAAAGGGUGCGUAGGCGGCCUUUUAAGUCAGAUGUGAAAGGCUACGGCUUAACCGUAGUUAGCAUUUGAAACUAAAAGGCUUGAGUGCAGGAGAGGAGAGUGGAAUUCCUAGUGUAGCGGUGAAAUGCGUAGAUAUUAGGAGGAACACCAGUGGCGAAGGCGACUCUCUGGACUGCAACUGACGCUGAGGCACGAAAGCGUGGGGAGCGAAC